CAAGAUGGCAGAGAGUAUAAUACAUCUCACCCUAGAGAUCCUCUUCCAUCUUACUGGAGAGGACUACACAGUAGUGAAGAAGACCUCUAGUGAGCGCUGUCAGGCCCUUGUGUCGGAAGGAUGGGGAAGAAGCCUGAGCCCAAUCAUGGGGCCUCCGUCUCACCCCCUGAUACAUGAGGAAAGCAAUAGAGAGAAGAUCCUAGAACUUGCCAACAAGAUGAUUGAGCUGCUAACUGGAGAGGUUCCUAUAAGGUGUCAGGAUGUCGCCGUCUAUUUCUCCAUGGAGGAGUG